rnacentral:lncRNA from 1 species
CUACAGCAAAUGACUGUCGCCUGCAACAUCAGUGCCCAAGGCACCCGACAACAGUGGACUCGUCAGUAACCUCAAAAACAUUCGAGCUUUUUUUAGAUUACUGAGACAGAGAGCCAUUCCACUCCAUCAGACGUCCCAGCUGAGCUUUGGGCGUCAGGCCCGAACUCUCCGACAAGUUACGACAACGGACACCACUCCACUUUUUGCAGCAGAUUCCACGUGGUUUCACCACUCUCUGGCAAGUCACGACAAUGGACACCACUCCAUUCUCCAUAACAAACUCCACGUGGC